ACGUAGGAGGCGAGCGUUGUCCGGAAUUACUGGGCGUAAAGAGCGCGUAGGCGGCGCGGUACGACCGCUGUGAAAGCCCCCAGCUCAACUGGGGAGGGUCAGCGGUAACGGCCGUGCUAUGAGUGCAGGAGAGGGAAGUGGAACUCCGGGAGUAGCGGUGAAAUGCGUAGAGACCCGGAGGAACACCAGUGGCGAAGGCGGCUUCCUGGUCUGCGACUGACGCUGUGGCGCGAAAGCUAGGGGAGCAAACGGGAUUAGAUACCCCGGUAGUCCUAGCCGUAAACGAUGGACACUAGGUGUGCGCGGUAUCGACCCCGCGCGUGCCGGAGCAAACGCAGUAAGUGUCCCGCCUGGGGAGUACGGCCGCAAGGCUA
rnacentral:rRNA from 1 species